rnacentral:rRNA from 1 species
CGGAGGGAUCAUUACCGAGUUUACAACUCCCAAACCCCUGUGAACAUACCAAUUGUUGCCUCGGCGGAUCAGCCCGCUCCCGGUAAAACGGGACGGCCCGCCAGAGGACCCCUAAACUCUGUUUCUAUAUGUAACUUCUGAGUAAAACCAUAAAUAAAUCAAAACUUUCAACAACGGAUCUCUUGGUUCUGGCAUCGAUGAAGAACGCAGCAAAAUGCGAUAAGUAAUGUGAAUUGCAGAAUUCAGUGAAUCAUCGAAUCUUUGAACGCACAUUGCGCCCGCCAGUAUUCUGGCGGGCAUGCCUGUUCGAGCGUCAUUUCAACCCUCAAGCCCCCGGGUUUGGUGUUGGGGAUCGGCGAGCCUCACGGCAAGCCGGCCCCGAAAUACAGUGGCGGUCUCGCUGCAGCUUCCAUUGCGUAGUAGUAAAACCCUCGCAACUGGUACGCGGCGCGGCCAAGCCUUAAACCCCCAA